GACGAACGCUGGCGGCGUGCCUAAUACAUGCAAGUCGAGCGGACUUGAAGGAGUGCUUGCACUCCUGGGAGUUAGCGGCGGACGGGUGAGUAACACGUAGGCAACCUGCCCUCAAGACUGGGAUAACUACCGGAAACGGUAGCUAAUACCGGAUAAUUUAUUACAUAGCAUUAUGUGAUAAUGAAAGACGGAGCAAUCUGUCACUUGGGGAUGGGCCUGCGGCGCAUUAGCUAGUUGGUGGGGUAACGGCCCACCAAGGCGACGAUGCGUAGCCGACCUGAGAGGGUGAACGGCCACACUGGGACUGAGACACGGCCCAGACUCCUACGGGAGGCAGCAGUAGGGAAUCUUCCGCAAUGGGCGAAAGCCUGACGGAGCAACGCCGCGUGAGUGAUGAAGGUUUUCGGAUCGUAAAGCUCUGUUGCCAAGGAAGAACGUCUCAUAGAGUAACUGCUAUGAGAGUGACGGUACUUGAGAAGAAAGCCCCGGCUAACUACGUG
rnacentral:rRNA from 1 species